AAAAAAAGAAACACAAAAAGAUCAGUAGUAGUACUUCCUCUGUCCUUCCUUCUUCAAUUUUUUUGGGGGUUUAAUGUAUGCAUUAUGUAUUCGUUGUAAAGUAGUAUGUAUUGAUGAUGAUGGUGAUCUUGCUCGAGAUCUUGUCUGUCUACAGAUCUGGCUGGUUUCUCUCCUUUUUCCUUGUAAUUUGUAGUUGGGGUAUAGUUUUAGGGCUACACAGCUAAGGGGAUGCCAAUAAUUGAUGAUGAUGAUGAUUUUUCUAUAUUCUCAUCUGGCCUUUUUUUUUUCCUGUUAUUCCAUUAUAUCUGCAGAUAUAUAUAAAAAAUCAGGAAAAAACACAGUCCAUGUUGACUAACUUGGAUGUGCU
rnacentral:lncRNA from 1 species